GCAGCAGGGACACUGUGGGGAUCUCCCCAGCUUGCUAGAAAUGAUUCUAGCAAGAUUGUGUGGCAAGUAGAGAAGGGCGGCCACGCGAGCCAUCCUUGCAGCAAGGGACAAGGCACAGUGAUGGGGAAAGUCUUCAUUUUUCUACACCAGAUCCUGCUCUUUUAGGCUCUUGUUCAGACUCGACUUGGGUCCUUUCUGUGCCCCUGAGCUGGCUCCGGACAGAGGAUAUUCAUAUUUGGCGCAGCUGCUCAGACGCUUCAU
rnacentral:lncRNA from 1 species